CCAAUCUCCUUCCAUAAGUCCUUACUGCUACCUCAUUAAAAAUCAUGCCUACAAAAACCCUCAUUGGGGACAAAAGGCUUGGUCAAAUGAAAAAAUAGUGUAGCUCAUCCUUUCAGGCGUUCAGUCUUGAUUCUGCGGUUGAUGGGUUCCCUUUCUCCUGGUGCCUUUGAGGGUUCUGCUCGCCCCAGGCCAUGGAUGUUGAGUUCAGACUCCCAAUAAGAGGUUGUCCCUCCUCCGAGAGCAAGAGUUGUUGUCAAGAACCUGCCAUACCAUGGAAAAAGAGAAAAAUAAGUAGUUAGGAAUAAUUUAAAAGAAAGAGAACGUACCCAUUGUUCUGUAUGGGUUUUAGUAACUUAUCGUCUUGCAAGGGAAACCUAACUUACGACCUGCUUGUUCCCUUCAACUUUUUCCCUAUAGUUUACCUUGGUGCAGUCACUUAAGAAUGCCCUCAAGUAUCCAUGCUUGAGUAGCUCGACCACCGAUUCUAUUAG
rnacentral:lncRNA from 1 species